GACAAGUUAGAGGUUUGGAACAUGGUCUCAAGGUUAAGGUUUCGGGUUAUGUUUGAUUGAGAUAGGAUGCAUUUUUAAUAGAUUUUGUGCUAUGGUGUUGUAAUAAAAUAACUUGAAAACUUUCAAGUAUUAAGAAAUCAUCUUCAAGUUCAAUGUGAUUCAGAUGAUUUUUGGGUCAGAAAUCAAUCUGUGUGUGAAAA
rnacentral:lncRNA from 1 species